AAAGUACUCCCUCCGUCCCAAAAUUCUUGUCUUAGAUUUGUCUAGAUACAGAUGUAUCAAGUCACAUUUUAGUAUUAGAUACAUCCGUAUCUAGACAAAUCUAAGACAAGA
rnacentral:pre_miRNA from 1 species